AACGUAGGAGACAAACGUUAUCCGGAGUUACUGGGCGUAAAGGGCGUGUAGGUGGUUUCGUAAGUCUGGCGUGAAAUAUCUCGGCUUAACCGAGGCAGGUCGUCGGAUACUGCGGGACUAGAGGACGGUAGAGGCGUGUGGAAUUCCGGGUGUAGUGGUGAAAUGCGUAGAGAUCCGGAGGAACACCAGUGGCGAAGGCGACACGCUGGGCCGUACCUGACACUGAGGCGCGACAGCGUGGGGAGCAAACAGG
rnacentral:rRNA from 1 species